CUCAAUGCAUACAAUCAUAGGCCCCCAAAAGAUGCACGUGACUGAUAGGUAUGUCCAUAAUAAAUCCUCCUAUUCCUUCCCACCACGUUCUUAAGAUACUAUUUAGCCAUUUGUUAGGGGCAUCCUUCUAUCAAAGCAGUAAUAUUAUUAUAUUAACUGAAGUUGAUAAACUAAGCAGUUGAUUGUAAUUUCACACCAUGCAUGUGUCAGUUCAGUUCCUAGAUGGCACAAUAAUACAAUUAAUAAAAUCUUGCUGGGCACUGCACAAACACACAGACCUUCUCAGUGUGGGACAGCUUAAAUUUUUAAUAGACAAUGGGGGAGAAAGGAAGUAUUUUUUCCAUUUUAAAGAUAAAGGUCAGAGGCACAAGAGAUUAAGUGGCUUGCUCAGUGUCAUACAGGAAGUCUGUGGAAGAGCUGGGAAUAGAACCGAUUUCAUGAGUCCUAGUCCAGUGCGUUAAACAGAAGAUCAACCUUCUUGAAAUACAGCAGCAAAUGAGUGGGAAAAUGACAGCUUGUAGGAAUCUAAGGCAUGAAAUAAUUGGUCCUUCUACACUAAAAAAUAACUCAGCCCCUCAGUUUCUAGGACAAAGCAUUAGAAUAUGUCCUGGAGGGAACAAUGCUGCAGUGGCUGGAAGAUGGAGUAGAAGACUUAAUAGGUGUCCUCAAUCUCUGACUCCUGUGGUUUUGAGUCUGUGAUUCAUUUCAGAAAUGUGUUGAGAUGGGUCAUUGUCUUGCAAAUGACACCGAAAGGUCAAAACAUUUAAAAAAAAAAGAGCUCCAGCAUGGACCAUACGGGAGAUACUGGAUCUGAUCGCUGUAUGGGGAGACGAAUCCAUGCUAUCAGAACUCCGUUCCAAAAGACGGAAUGCCAAAACAUUUAAAAAAAUCUCCAAGGCCACGAUGGACAGAGGCCACAACAGGGACUCAACACAGUGAUGCAUGAAACUUAACGUGCUGAGAUAAGCGUACCAGAAAACCAAAGAAUCAAACGGAUGCUCUGGGAGAGAGCCACAGACAUGCCGCUUCUAUGCUGAGCUGUAGGCCAGCACCAUACCCCACCCCUGUCCGUGGACUCCGAUAAUUGGGUACUCUCAGUUGCCAUGCCUGAGGAUUUUGUGGACGGGGAAGAUGAGGAGGAGGACAAGGUUGAGGAGAGCACAUCGUUCUCCCUGACAGCCAGGAUCUUUUUCUCACCCUGACUGAAAUACUGCCUUGGGAGGGUAUCCCGGACUAUGAAGCCAUAGAAGGGACCUCUGCUGCAAAUGUUUCAAGCCUCCCUCCUCCAUCCCAAAGGCUAUUUCAGAUAAGGCGGUGAAAAAAAUGCACGUGCGAUGAAAUGUUCUCUGAGCUCAUGCGGGGGUCCUGCACUGAAAGAGCUCAGCAGAAAGUGUGGAGAGACACAAUAGCACAAGACAGGAAAGCGGCCAGUGAACGUGAGGAGAGGUGGCGGCAGGAAGAUCAGAGGAGGCAGGAUGCAAUGCUGGGGCUACUGCAGGAACAAAUGGACAUGAUCCAGCAUCUGGUGGAGGUUCAGGAACGUCAGCUGGAGAGACUGCCGCUGCAGCCCCUGUUUAACCGCCCUUCCUCCUCCCCAAGUUCCAUAGCCGCCGCCUCACCCAGAUGCCCAAGAACAUGUGUGUGUUUGGGGGGGGGGGGGAGGGGAGGCGAGGCUCCGGACUCCCAACCACUCCACCCCAGUGGACAGAAGGCUAUCAUUCAACAAGUUUUGAAGCCUUUUCCUUCCCUCCUCCCACACCCCACCCAGGCUACCUUGUGAGUUAUUUCCCUAUUUUUAUAAUCAAUUAAUAAAGAAUACAUGGUUUUUAAAUAAUAGUGACUUUAUUUCCAAGCUGUGAUCGAAGGAG